GUGCCAGUAGUUAAGCGGUUAACAUUCACUUGAAAUUUGGUUUUUCAAAGAACAACGUCCGUUCGACUCGGACCUGGUACA